AUGUGUACCUUCUUUGAAAAAGUAGCAAUCAUCUCAUCAUAUACAUAUUUUUUUACAUAUAAUAUAUGUACAUGAAUAACAUAUACACCACACCGACUGCACAUUUUUCAUACAUGAAUGACAUAUACAACACACUGACUGUACAUUUUCUUGCUAUUAGAAGCCUCUUCAGAUUUAACGGUUUGUACUGGGCAUAACAAAUUAACCAAAGACCGAAUUACGAACGUCAAAGUUCUUGAAUUACAAACCAAAAAACAAGCAGGCAAAAUAGAGGAUUGCCAGGGUCUAAGAUAGAUCAAUUGCAAUACACUUUCACUCCAUUUUUCACUCAGUAAUAGCAUGACUGAAUAAGAAUUUCAAGACUGGAGCAGUUUUUCCUUUCAGUAUCGUUGGACACGAGCUCCUUGAGGAAGCUUGCGUGGUCAGUAGCACGUUAGUCCUAAAAUUGUGUCGUCAUGGAGAAGGAGCCUCGAGGUCAGCCCAUGACAGGGUAACUUCUCUGCACUACAAGAAGUCAAAAGCAGUAACUGUACAUAUUUUUAGACAUACAAGCAUAAUAGAAAUUUGCAUAACUAACAUGGUGUAUCCUGAUACAAAAUACUGAUGCUUUGGGAACUCGAACAGAGAAAAGAAGUGCAGGUAGCUCAAGCAUCAAGUGCAGAAGAGCAUGGGCUCACCGGGGAAGGAGGUAGACAGACGACAACGGUUGUCCUGUAUUAAGCAGAGGAGAACAUGAAAUUACAAACCACCGACCUGAUCGAGCAUUGAAAACUUUCUGUCUCUAUUCAGUAUAAGAAAUAAGAAAGUUUGAACUCAUAAAACUGCUAUAGCUCAAACUCUGAUGCACAUCUCCAAAUCAUCUCAUACUAUAGGAAGAACAUGAAAAAACAGAUGUAAUUGGAGUUACGACCAGCAAGUAGAUGAACUGAACAGAAUACAAAUACCAUGUUGUGUUAUACCAAGAACUUGGAAACACACAUGAAACUGAAUUUAUGAUCGGCAAGUAGAUGAACUAAAACAAAAUACAAAGAUACAUGAAAACAUGAAUGGGGAAGGCAAGACCUCAUCGCUGCGUCAUUCAACGGCCUCGUCUAUCGGCAGUGAACGGACUGUGGCACCGGUGGUGAACGGCCUGGGCGCUGCGGUGGCGCGAGGGUGGCCAGGGGCAUUUGCAUCAGGAAACUCAUGAAAUAAGCUUACCACCAUGUGGCGUUAGGCAACAAACAUUCGCAGUCUUUGAACUGAAACUAAAUCAAGAAAUUGAACUGAGUGUGUGAUGAGAUAGUUAAUGUGAAAUUGAACUGAGUGUUUCACAUCACUCUACAGCACACCAAUGCGCACGCACAGCCAGUAGUGAGAAUCACCAUUGUGCAACAACAAGCUCAGGGGGCUCAAAUCUCCAUGGCAUGGGAGCAAAUCGCCAACAAUAUUUUAUUAAUUCAGCCCUUGGUGUUGGAUGGAUCUUCACUUGUGUAAUUACCUGCACAAGGAUCAGCAGACCAACAUUUGAGCACACACCGAAACACUUUGAUCCUACAUCUCAGAUCGAACCAUGUAGGACAUGAGUAUAAUACAACUACCAUAUUAACAUUUUAGAAAACAGGAUGGGAUCGAACUUGAAGAGGAAGACUAGCCGAACUGAGAAAGUAAACGAAUUUGUCACAUUAUGUUAAAAAAUAAUGCAAACAUUUCAUUUUUUACAGCAGGCCUUUUGGCAUUUUCAACUGUAGUUCAAUGAAAAUAUUACCAUCCACAAACUUUUCCAAUCAUAGAACUACAAAAAUAUAGGAAAGUUGAACUAUUGUAUUUCUGUGGUGCGCACAUAAUUAAUAAUUUAAAAAUGCUUAUCUUAUCUCACUAAACUGGUUACACCUUCACUGGAGUUUGCUUGGAGGUGCAGGAACUUGGACAUGCACGGUUCUGCAUGUUGAACUCCUAGCAAUGUCACGCCUCUGCAAGCCAUUGAGCAGCUGAGAGGAGGGAGCUGC
rnacentral:lncRNA from 1 species